rnacentral:rRNA from 1 species
UACGAAGGGGGCUAGCGUUGCUCGGAAUCACUGGGCGUAAAGGGUGCGUAGGCGGGUCUUUAAGUCAGGGGUGAAAUCCUGGAGCUCAACUCCAGAACUGCCUUUGAUACUGAGGAUCUUGAGACCGGAAGAGGUUAGUGGAACUGCGAGUGUAGAGGUGAAAUUCGUAGAUAUUCGCAAGAACACCAGUGGCGAAGGCGGCUCACUGGUCCGGUACUGACGCUGAGGCGCGAAAGCGUGGGGAGCAAACAGG